GGCUGGUCUGAAGGUAGUGAAUUAUCUCAGUCAAUUGUUCACAGUCAGUUACAGAUUGAGCUCCUUUUCCCUUCUUCUCACUACUGCACUUGAUAGUCUUAA
ensembl:misc_RNA Y_RNA Y RNA